AUCUAGCUCUCCACGCUGGGGAGAAAACUAUAAGUGCCAGGUGUGUGUGUGGGGGGGGGGCAGUUUAGGACCUAAUUUACAUUUUGUAAUCUUCCCAGGGCCUUCACUUGAUCUGAGCAAUGCCAUUGCCUGCAUCUGUUGCGGAGACCACUGCACUUCUGCCAGCAGUCAGGACCCCACAGUAUGUGUCUCAGAGGCAAAGGAAAGGCCUUGCAAAAGAAUGGCAACUCAAGAAGAAACCCCUCCACUCAUAUUGUCUCUCCAUUGCCCUUGAGGAGUCAGAUUCUAGCAUGGUCCAGAAGCCAAAGGCUAUGACACUGAAGUACAUGAGCUUGAGGACCUCAUAGACCUCCUGUUUGUUCAUCCCCAAAUAUCUCCUGAAGGGAGAGGGAAGCUCUCAUCACAGAAGAAUGCAAGCAAAGCAGAAUCAAGGAACAUUAAAGAGCAUGGGAUUAAGGAACCCAGACAGGUAACUGACUCCAAGAUGAAUGUGAACAGGGCGCGUUUGCCUUCCCCUGGCUCUGUUUCAGGGAGACUCCAUUGUUCGAUUCUCUCCCUAUGAGUUACAGCAGCAGGGAAGAGCUGGGCCCAAUGGAGUUUCAGGGAGACUCAUCCUGUCAAAGCUGCUCUCUGCCCUGUAUCUCUACAUCCCACUCAACCCUUAACAGGGAAGUGCCUUGUUCUCUUGGCUACCCUGAGGCUAUGGUAAAAUAUCCUGCCUUCCCAUUCUGACUGCUUUCUAUCUUCUUCUUUCCAUAUCACAUUAGUUAGUAUGUCACUCAUCAAUGAAAUCAUAUAUGCUCCAGAUUUGGACAGAGGCUAAUCUGUGACCCCACGUGGACUAACAGCUCUACAUGUUAAUAGGGAUCUUUAGUACUCUUCCUUCAGGGAAGUCUUUUUUUUUUUUUUUCAGGGAAGUCUUAAUGUGGGACCUUAUCAAGGUAGAGGAGA
rnacentral:lncRNA from 1 species